rnacentral:rRNA from 1 species
CCCUAUGGGGUGCAGCAGGCGAGAAAACUUUGCAAUGUGCGAAAGCACGACAAGGUUAAUCCGAGUGGUUUCUGCUAAAGGAACCUUUUGCCAGUCCUAGAAACACUGGCGAAUAAGGGGUGGGCAAGUUCUGGUGUCAGCCGCCGCGGUAAAACCAGCACCUCAAGUGGUCAGGAUGAUUAUUGGGCCUAAAGCAUCCGUAGCCUGCUUUGUUAGUUUUCGGUUAAAUCUAUUCGCUCAACGAAUAGGCUGCCGGGAAUACUGCAAAGCUAGGGAGUGGGAGAGGUAGACGGUACUCGGUAGGAAGGGGUAAAAUCCUUUGAUCUAUUGAUGACCACCUGUGGCGAAGGCGGUCUACCAGAACACGUCCGACGGUGAGGGAUGAAAGCUGGGGGAGCAAACCGGAUUAGAUACCCGGGUAGUCCCAGCUGUAAACUAUGCAAACUCAGUGAUGCAUUGGCUUGAUGCCAAUGCAGUGCUGCAGGGAAGCCGUUAAGUUUGCCGCCUGGGAAGUACGUACGCAAGUAUGAAACUUAAAGGAAUUGGCGGGGGAGCACCACAAGGGGUGAAGCCUGCGGUUCAAUUGGAGUCAACGCCAGAAAUCUUACCCGGAGAGACAGCAGAAUGAAGGUCAAGCCGAAGACUUUACCAGACAAGCUGAGAGGAGGUGCAUGGCC